UACAAUUGUGAAAGAUCCCGUACAUGAAUGACCUGGCAAUCAAUAAUCCAUAAUCAUUCUUUUUAUACAUAAAAAUAGAUUCCUGAAAUCAAGACCACAUUUCUAUGUUUUCCAUCAGGAGCUGUGUCUUUACUUUUCAUCUCUGAAACAUAUGAAGAAAAAGAUGCUAUGAAGCUUUCAAUGUUAGUUGAUGACCUUAACCUUACAGAGAACCCCUAAAGCACUAUUAUCACUAUUAUCACUAUUAUCACUGUCAAACACAAAGUAC